AUCUAAACCUGAUAGUAACGGAAAGCCCGUAACGCAGUGGAGGCUUGAAGUGGAUAGCAGGACUUUCG
rnacentral:sRNA from 1 species